GUUUGCGCGCACCAAAUUAAUACAAUUGAUUUGAACUGAAUAUUCGUUUUUCAAAACGCUCAUUUCCACUCGGAAUUCAUUUUAAAAAAAUAAGGAAAUUAAAUAGUGAAAGUGAAAUAUAGAACACCGAAUGUUGGAUUAAAAGUGGCUUUGUUAAAAUCCACUCGAAAGGGAAUUACAGAAUCUGCCCGAUAGAUCUAGAUUAAAUAAAAGUUUGGAAUCGACAACAUACUUAUAAGAAUCAAUAAUUGUCCGAAUAUCAAGUUUCUAGAUUUAAAACAUGUAUGGCAUUUGGUUGUUGUCUUGGAUGCAGUCAGAAAUAUACUGAAAAAGUUUUCUUUACACGAUCUGAGCCCGUAUAUAAACUGUCAAAGUCAUUGUCAAAGGUUUGUCAUAUCCUGAAUAUAUGAAAAGUGCGUUGAAGCUAACACCAAAAACGAAAACAAAAAUUUUGUUUGUCGUUCUGUCAUCAAUAUAUUUACCAUUAUUAGUUCACGAAAACAUUCGCUAAACGCACUGAUGACCAGCGAGAGAAUGAUAAUAAUAACAGUCGUAAAGGCAUUACAGCUUUGCGUUCUACAAUAAAGUGGAUAGGCAUAGAAUGGAACGAGUUCGGGCGCAUCGAUCAUAACAGCAGCGCGCAUGGGAAAAUGAAACUAAUUGAAUCCUCAAAUGCAAAGCUUCAGUGAACCUAGAACGAGAUCAAUCUCUAACGAUACGGAAAUAGAUUAUAAUGCCAAAAUUCGAUUAAUGUCAAUAAUUUGUCGACAUUGUAAAGCUUAAAAUACAGAUGUGAAUCUGUGGGAUUGUUGUUGUUGCCACUGCUGCGGCUGGUUAUGCAGUUAGUUCAUUUAAAGCUUUCUUAUAAACUAUAUUAUUUCUCUUUUUUUGCGGUGUGAAAUUCGCCGGGUCAUAUAUUAAAUUACAGUUUCCUUGGACUACAUAUUUAUUAUCGACGAUUCGUUCCAAAUUUUGUCAUCGUAGCUAGUGGCUUUUACGAACUCACGAAAAAGAACAGAGUCUUUGAUUGGAAUAAACAACAGGAAGUGGAUUUUCAAACUCUGAAGAAACGGCAGUUUACUGCGGAAAUGUUAACAUACACGUUCCCAGGAUCAGCGUUUAUUUUGGAUACUAGUGGGUAUGCAGUAGGAGGAGUUCUAUCACAAGUCAUUGGUGGGCAUGGGACAGUAGUUGCGUACUACAGUCAGACAAUAAGCAAGAUAGAGAGAAAUUAUUGUGUAACUCGGAGGAAAUUACUGGCGUUGGUGAAAUGCAGCAAACGUUUUCAUAAGUACCUUUAUGGCCAAAGUUUUCACGUAAGGACAGAUCAUGCAGCAUUAAAAUGACAUGCAGCACAUUUCAAUAACUCAGAGGGAAAGUUGGCACAAUAUAUUGAGGGACUCUUAAGUUCUCUAUAGAACAUCGCAAAGGUAGUAAUCAUGGAAAUGCGGAUGCGAUGUCCCAACAUCCUUGUAGCUUCGAAUGCAGACAUUGCUCAAAAGCUGAGACUAAACAAGAAAUUAUAGAUGUCCGAUUAAUGACAAUCAUACCAGACUGGGAUAAGGAGGAACAACGGAAAUGUAAAAGCAAGAAUAUCCAGAUUUGAAAUGUGUAAUACAUGGAUUGGAGAUGAAUAAACGUUCAACGAGAGAAGAAAUAGCUGCAUAAUGUCCAGUCGCAAAGGCGUAUUGGACACAAUGGAAUAGUAUGAAGUGUCUGGGUGCUUGCAUCGCAGGGAAAGCGAAGUACGGCAAAGGUCACGAGCUCUGAUGAUUGUUCCGAAAGUAAGUGGAAGACACAUGGGUUUCACUAAAACCUAGGGGAAAUUUAAAAACGAUUUUAUUGGGUUGAUUGUCAUCAAUCAGUUACGGAGUGGAUCGCCAAUUGUGCCGAGUGCAUUGCAGCUAAAGGGCCGAGGUCCAGGAGUCAUAGCCAGAUGAAGUAGUACAAUUCAGAUGUGCCGUUUGACCGAAUUGCAAUGAAUGUCGCUGGUCCAUUUCCCACCAUUAAGUUAGGAAACAAGUAUGUUUUGGUAGUCAUGAACUAUUUCAGCAAAUGGCCAGAGGUAUACGCAGUUCUUAACCAAGAGGCAGAAACAGUAGCGGUCAUAUUCAUUAACAAUUCUAAUAGAAUUUCAUUCUGAACAAGGGAGGAGUUUUGAAUCAGCGUAAUUGUACCAGAAUCAGGGUAUUCGGAAAACCCGUACAACUGCACUACAUUUGCAGUAUGAUGGCAUGGUAGAACGAUUCAACCGAAAGUUGGAAGAACAUUUGACGAAAGUUGUGAACGAGUAUCAAAAAUAUUGGGAUACCAAUAUAUCGGGUACGUUCGAGAUGGCAAUCACGACAGCAGUGUUGCAAGUUUGUCAAAGUAAUACGUUCUGCGUGAGUUUAUGGCAACACUUGCAGCAGCAUCACGUUCUACUGUCACUUUUUGCGCGCAAUUUAUGCAAAUAAUCGGCAACAUUAAAUUUUUGUCUGCACAUCAGCAAAUAGUCAACACAGUUGCUGUACUGCUGUAAUUAUUACAUAACUCGAAAGCACCCAUCCUUGUUCCCGAUGGCUUAUCGGUUUGCUGUACAUGAAACAACAGGACAGACUCCAGCAAGGCCAACGGAGGAAAACAUGCCAUGGUAGUGAAGCACAUACAGAUCAUUAACCUUGGACAUUGGAAUAAAAUGCAAGUGUAUCGUCUGGAAAGCCUUGCAGCGGUUGGUACUGCGAAUAUGUCUAAUGAAAAUAGAAUCGACGAUAAAUUGCUGGAAUCAACUCGACAGCGAAAUUGUAGUUACCAGACUUUUCGAGUGGCGAAGUUGUGUUUACAAUCUACAACAUACGGGCUGCCGGAUUGUACAGCAGGUACACAAUUCCGAUUAGAGUGCUGCUUAAUAAAGAACUAUAAGCAAUUAGGUGUAAACGCGAAUAACGAGUGAUAAGUGUUAAGUUGUUUAAAUUAAAAAAAAAAUGUGUAUAGCCA